CAUCCAACUCAGAGGACACAAACAAUGUAAACAACAGCAAAGCCCUGAGAGGGUCAAUAAAGUUUUCUGAGUCCAGUUAUGGAGAAAGAUUUCAAAGAACUUGUAAGAAAUGCACAUUCCUUUUUUAAAGGGUGUCUUUGAUUAAAUUUCUCUUUAGAGCAGAGGUGAUUGCAGCAUUCUGUGAUUGAUAUUGACCCAGGGUCUCUCCUCAGCAGCUCUGGCCUGCUCACAGAAGCUGUGCCUGGAGCUCUGACCCAUUGUGGACAACCCUGCUCCACACUGCCCAGCCCCAUCCUGUCUGUCCUCACUGCCUUGGGCCUUGCUGUGCUUGCAGAGCUGGCUGCACUCAGCCUGAGAGGGGUUUUCCCUUUUUGUACUUUUUGCAGCAAUCUGAAACUCCUGAGUUUCCCCAGUGCAAACAGACACACUGCUCAGGUGUGUGCCAGCCCCAGGUGCCACCAAAGGCACUGCAGAGCUGCCCUGGGCCAGCUGUGAGGGUGGAUCAUCAGCCCAAGCUGCACUGGGCACUGCAAGGGGCUGUGGCCAUGGGCACUGCACUGACCCCACUGCUGGGUUUGGCUGCCACGGCCACUGUGAGAAAUUAAACUGUCCUUGGAAACACUGGGGAGGACUGGGACAUACUGGGGACACUGGGAACGCUGUGGGAGACACUGGGACAUACUGGGAACACUGGGAACGCUGUGGGAGACACUGGGACAUACUGGGAGUGACACUGGGGAGGACUGGGACAUACUGGGGAACACUGGGGGCAUUGCGGAGAAGACUGGGGACACUGGGGCAUCCUGUGGAUGAUAUUGGGGGGGGAACUGGGAGGGACUGGGCUGUACUGGGAGGGACUGGAGGGGCACUGGGCUCGUACUGGGUUCUACUUGGGACGAACUGGGCUGUACUGGGGUUGUACUGGUCUGUACUGGGGAUGAACUGGGCUGUACUGGGAGGGACUGGAUAAGUUGAAUGGGCUGUUUCCGCCUCCACCGUAUCCCAUUUGCCGAGACUCCCGCCCAUCACCCCGCGCAGCCAAUCAGCGCUAGAGAUCGGAGACUCGGGGGCGGUGCCUACGGUAACCAAAACUCCCGUCAUGCCCCGCGGCCUGAUUGAGCCCCAUUGGAGCCUGGACUACAACGCCCGUCAAGCCCUGCGCUCCACAGAACCCCCAGGAUCCGCUACCCCUUUGUCCCUUAAGUGUUCUCCACACCCUCCAGGAUCCCUCAGUGCCCCCUCAGCGCCCAUUCGGGAGCCCCUGAAAGCGCCCCGGACCCCCUGAGUGCUCCCAACCCCACAGAUGCCCGGUACAGCCACUUCUGGGAAUUCAUCUCCUCUCAUCCCCCGCGGCCCCAGAGCCCCUCAGAACACAGUCCCGCGCCUAAAACUCCUGCCGUGCCCCCGCCCUGAAGAGCCCAGUUAGAGCUCCCCGAGCUCCUCCCAAGCGCUCCCGAACUGUUUAAGUUCCCCCGAGGACCUCAAGUCGCGGCUCGGACGCAAAAGUGUCCCCCAAGAGCUUUCCCAGACCCCCAAACAUGGUAUUCGAGUCACUUCCAGGACUACAGCUCCCAUCAUGCUCCAUGGCGCAUGCCCAGCGCUAUUCCACCCGGGACUUCAUCUCCCGUCAUUUCCGGAGUUCCUCCGAGAGCCAUUGCAGCUGUGCCCAGAACUCCCGUGAUGCUCCGCGGCCCCAUUAAACCGUAUGAUACCCGUGCCUAGAACUUCCAUCACCCCCUGUCCCCCAGAGGGCCCCGUUCCAGUCCCACAAGGGCCCGCCCGUCUCCCCCAAGUGUCCUCCAGACCCUCAAGUUCUUUCUGAAUUCCCUCCCCAGACCCAAAACUGCCCCAAAUGUGCCCCAGAAGUGUCUCCAGGGACCCGAAAGUUCCCCCCUUGACCCUGUGGAAAAAAUAAGAAAAGAGAUGACAAAGAUGAUAAAUUAUUUGCAUAAAGAAGGAGAAAUCAAUAG
rnacentral:lncRNA from 1 species